rnacentral:rRNA from 1 species
UACGGAGGGUGCAAGCGUUGUCCGGAUUUAUUGGGUUUAAAGGGUGCGUGGGCGGCCCGUUAAGUCAGUGGUGAAAGCCUCCAGCUCAACUGGAGAACUGCCAUUGAUACUGGCGGGCUUGAGUACAGACGAGGUUGGCGGAAUUGAUAGUGUAGCGGUGAAAUGCAUAGAUACUAUCAAGAACUCCGAUUGCGUAGGCAGCUAACUAGGCUGUAACUGACGCUGAGGCACGAAAGCGUGGGGAGCGAACAGG